AUUUCUUCUCAGUGUAGAAGGUGAAAUCAAAACCAAAAACGUCUUAGAAUAUAUGAGUUGAUGUCGCAGUAAAUCCUGAUUACCACCUUCAGGGCCGGCCAUGACUAUGUUGGUGCCAUGGCAAGAUUUUCGAUUGAAUCACCCAAAAAAGUGCAACAAUGGUACUUCCAGCCCAGACAAAAAGACAAGUUGGGAUCAAGGUACAUUCAAGAGUGUUUGAUGGCAUGGCCUGAGGUACCACAUGAAGUUUGGUGGCUGUUGGGUGAAAACUGACCAACCAAUAAGGCUUUGAAAAACAAACCUGAUGAAAACCUACGCAAUUUAAUGAGGGAAAAGAAGAAAAACAUUGAGAUGGGAGAACAAGUGCACAUUUCCAAAAACUGUAAGCAAACAAACCUGUCAGUAAAAAGAAAACAAAAAAACAAAUAUCCCACUCAUUUGGCCUAAUUAGUUUCCCUAGGCCUAUGUGGCCUAUGACAGGAGCCACUCUUGAUCCCCUUUAGUGAUUGUGUUGUUAUGCUGUUGAGAAUAAUGUUUUAUCAUUGACAGUAACAUCCGUUGCUUGUUAGCUUGUACUGUAAACAUGUUCAAUUAAAAAUCAACUGUUGAGUUGAUUGGAUGAACCUGCAGACUGGUUGGGUCUUGGUGGAACGUGAUUGGUCACUGCUGAAUUUGGCGGUUUGCUUAAAUGGACAAUGCCCCGCCCACUCGUAAUGCCGUUAAUUUUGAAAAAGAAAAGAGAAAUGAAUCGUAAAAAAAGUCAAGGCACACUGCCUCCUCAAGGUUUAUCCAGCAGAUGGCACCAUGAUUAUCAGCCAGCUGAAGACUCAGCCUCUUCUCAGCAACAGCUGGAGCAGAGACAGCUGCAACUCAGAGUCCAAGCUUCAUAGUUUUUGCAUGGAGAGAAGAUAACGUCAUGGAUCAGGCUGCUGUCAUCAUGACUGCAGUUAAUCCUGAGCUCCUCUCUCCCCUCCUUCACAACCUGAGAAGAAGACUGUUCAAAGGUGGAGCAUCUGCAACUUUUUAGCCUAUAUGUCAAAUGACAGAUGGCUAAGUUCCUCUCCUCAUACACCACACCUCCUCUUCCCCACCUUCUUCCUCCACUAGCAACUGAUCUUGUGACUGACAAAAAUAUUUUUUUCAGCCUGCCUCUGCCUCUUUAGUGAACUCUUUUCUUUUUUUUUUGACUGAUUACCAAUGUAUGCAUAUUUUCUUGGUGCUGUGGUUUUAAGUCAUGAAAAAUGGCUGAUUGUAAAGCUGGAAAAUGUAAAAUGUAAAGUUUUUCAAGUGUUAACUAAACUAAACUAAAACCCUUUCUAACAGUCUAAGUCCAAAGCUGUUAAAACUAGAGCUUCAUGUACUGAGUUUUUUUUUUUGGUAAUUGAGUUAUUUAAUAGUAUAACAAUUUAAUAAUCACUCCUGACCCCCUUUAGUGUUUGUGUUGUUUUGUUGUUGAGAAUAAUGUUUUAUCAUUGACAGUAACAUCCGUUGCUUGUUUGCUUGUACUGUAAACAUGUUCAAUUAAAAAUCACCUGUUGAGUUGAUUGGAUGAACCUGCAGACUGGUUGGGUUUUGGUGGAACGUGAUUGGUCACUGCUGAAUUUGGCGGUUUGCUUAAAUGGACAAUGCCCCGCCCACUCGUAAUGCUGUUAAUUUUGAAAAAGAAAAGAGAAAUGAAUCGUAAAAAAAGUCAAGGCACACUGCCUCCUCAAGGUUUAUCCAGCAGAUGGCACCAUGAUUAUCAGCCAGCUGAAGACUCAGCCUCUUCUCAGCAACAGCUGGAGCAGAGACAGCUGCAACUCAGAGUCCAAGAUAUUAACUUUACCUGCAGCCCAGAGCGUAUAAAAAAUCAAGGCGGUGAUGCCUGGAAUCAUUCUGACUGGGGAAGAGGAAAUGAAAUGAAUGAAAAUACAAUGAGCCCCUUGAGAUCUGUUGGGAGGAAAUGACAUCAGAUCAGCGUCAGAGUUAAAUAGACGAGGACACACAAAAGGAAGUCUACAGGAGUCGUUAGUAGCAUACAUGAUGUCGAGUAGAGCUGCAAUGAUUUGUUGAUUAAUCGAUUAGUUGAUCAACAGAAAAUUAACUGCCA